rnacentral:rRNA from 1 species
AACGAACGACUCCUACGGGUGCCAGCAGUGGGGAAUAUUGGACAAUGGGCGCAAGCCUGAUCCAGCCAUGCCGCGUGAGUGAUGAAGGCCUUAGGGUUGUAAAGCUCUUUUAGCAGGGAAGCGGUACCUGCAGAAAAAGCCCCGGCUAACUUC